rnacentral:rRNA from 1 species
CGAUGAAGCCCAGCUUGCUGGGUGGAUUUAGUGGCGAACGGGUGAGUAACACGUGAGUAACCUGCCCUUGACUCUGGGAUAAGCCUGGGAAACUGGGUCUAAUACCGGAUAGGAACGUCCACCGCAUGGUGGUUGUUGGAAAGAUUUAUCGGUCAUGGAUGGACUCGCGGCCUAUCAGCUUGUUGGUGAGGUAAUGGCUCACCAAGGCGACGACGGGUAGCCGGCCUGAGAGGGUGACCGGCCACACUGGGACUGAGACACGGCCCAGACUCCUACGGGAGGCAGCAGUGGGGAAUAUUGCACAAUGGGCGAAAGCCUGAUGCAGCGACGCCGCGUGAGGGAUGACGGCCUUCGGGUUGUAAACCUCUUUCAGUAGGGAAGAAGCGAAAGUGACGGUACCUGCAGAAGAAGCACCGGCUAACUACGUGCCAGCAGCCGCGGUAAUACGUAGGGUGCGAGCGUUAUCCGGAAUUAUUGGGCGUAAAGAGCUCGUAGGCGGUUUGUCGCGUCUGUCGUGAAAGUCCGGGGCUUAACCCCGGAUCUGCGGUGGGUACGGGCAGACUAGAGUGCAGUAAGGGAGACUGGAAUUCCUGGUGUAGCGGUGGAAU